rnacentral:rRNA from 1 species
AGUACGAGAUGCUACGACAUCGAAGCAGUCUAUGUCAUACUUCCAAGAAAAGCUUGCACUGUCAUAAACAAAGAAUGCCUGUACCAUAACCGACACAGGUGGGUAGGUAGAGUAUACUAAGGGGCGCGAGAUAACUCUCUCUAAGGAACUCGGCAAAAUGACUCCGUAACUUCGGGAGAAGGAGUGCCUUAUUUCUAAGGUUGCAAUAACAAGAUCCAAGCAACUGUUUACCAAAAACACAGGUCUCCGCUAAGUCGUAAGACGAUGUAUGGGGGCUGACGCCUGCCCAGUGCCAGAAGGUUAAAGAAGUUGGUUAGCAUUAGCGAAGCUGAUAACUGAAGCCCUGGUGAACGGCGGCCGUAACAAUAACGGUCCUAAGGUAGCGAAAUUCCUUGUCGGGUAAGUUCCGACCCGCACGAAAGGCGUAAUGAUUUGGAUACUGUCUCGGAGAGGGGCUCGGUGAAAUAGACUUGUCUGUGAAGAUGCGGACUACCUGCACCUGGACAGAAAGACCCUAUGAAGCUUUACUGUAACUUGAGAUUGAAAUUGGACUUUAUUUGCGCAGUAUAGGUGGGAGGCGUUGAGAAUAAUCUUGCGGGAUUGUUGGAGCCAUCAGUGAGAUACCACUCUUGUAUGUUAGAUUUCUAACUUUGUAUCAUUAUCUGGUCAAAGAACAGUUUCAGGCGGGCAGUUUGACUGGGGCGGUCGCCUCCCAAAGGGUAACGGAGGCGCACAAAGGUUUCCUCUGAACGGGUAGAAAUCGUAUCUAGAGUGUAAAGGCAUAAGGAAGCUUGACUGUGAGACCUACAAGUCGAGCAGGGACGAAAGUCGGUCUUAGUGAUCUGACGGUGCUGAGUGGAAAGGCCGUCACUCAACGGAUAAAAGUUACUCUAAGGAUAACAGGCUGAUCUCCCCCAAGAGUUCACAUCGACGGGGAGGUUUGGCACCUCGAUGUCGGCUCAUCGCAUCCUGGGGCGGUAGUCCGUCCCAAGGGUUGGGCUGUUCGCCCAUGAAAGCGGUACGCGAGCUGGGUUCAGAACGUCGUGAGACAGUUCGGUCCAUAUCCGGUGUAGGCGUUAGAAUAUUGAGAGGAGCCUUCUCUAGUACGAGAGGACCGAGAAGGACAUACCUCUGGUGUACCAGUUAUCGUGCCAACGGUAAACGCUGGGUAGCUAUGUAUGGAGUGGAUAACCGCUGAAAGCAUCUAAGUGGGAAGCCCACCUCAAGAUAAGUAUUC